rnacentral:ribozyme from 14 species
AUCUCUACUUUCCCUUCUUUUCUUUCCCUUUUUUUCUUUUUCUUUUCUUUUAAGUAUGACUUUUUCUUGUAAACCAGGUACAUGUGGCACGGCUUUAAAUCCAUAUGAUACACAAGUAGAUAGA